UACGAGGGGGGCGAGCGUUGUUCGGAAUUAUUGGGCGUAAAGGGUGCGUAGGCGGUUUGGUAAGUCUCGUGUGAAAUCUACAGGCUCAACUUGUAGUCUGCACGAGAAACUGCCGGGCUUGAGUGUGGGAGAGGUGAGUGGAAUUCCCGGUGUAGCGGUGAAAUGCGCAGAUAUCAGGAAGAACACCCGUGGCUAAGGCGGCUCUCUAGUACGGUACUGACGCUGAGACGCGAAAGCGUGGGGAGCGAACAGG
rnacentral:rRNA from 1 species